rnacentral:rRNA from 1 species
CCUACGGGAGGCUGCAGUGAGGAAUAUUGGUCCAUGUACGGAAGUCUGCACCAGCCAUUCCGCGUUCAGGAAGACGGCUCUAUGAGUUGUAAACUGCUUUUGUACAAGGGUAAACCUGAAUACGUGUAUUCAGCUGAAAGUACUGUACGAAUAAGGAUCGGCUAACUCCGUGCCCGCAGCCGCGGUAAUACGGAGGAUCCAAGCGUUAUCCGGAUUUAUUGGGUUUAAAGGGUGCGUAGGCGGAUUGAUAAGUUAGAGGUGAAAUGUCCGAGCUUAACUCGGGAACUGCCUCUAAUACUGUUGAUCGAGAGAGUAGAUGCGGUAGGCGGAAUGUAUGGUGUAGCGGUGAAAUGCUUAGAGAUCAUACAGAACACCGAUGGCGAAGGCAGCUUACCAAUCUAUAUCUGACGUUGAGGCACGAAAGCGUGGGGAGCAAACAGGAUUAGAUACCCCUGUAGUC